GCCGAGAUAGCUCAGUUGGGGAGAGCGUCAGACUGAAGAUCUGAAGGUCCCUGGUUCAAAAUCAUACGAAGAUAUGAACUUUCCCGGGUCUCGGCA